rnacentral:rRNA from 1 species
CCUACGGGAGGCAGCAGUAAGGAAUCUUCCGCAAUGGGCGAAAGCCUGACGGAGCAACGCCGCGUGGGCGAUGAAGGCCUUCGGGUCGUAAAGCCCUUUUCUGUGGGACGAUAAUGACGGUACCACAGGAAUAAGCCACGGCUAACUACGUGCCAGCAGCCGCGGUAAUACGUAGGUGGCUAGCGUUAUCCGGAUUCACUGGGCGUAAAGAGCGCGUAGGCGGUGUGCUAAGUUGGACGUGAAAGCCCCCGGCUUAACCGGGGGAGGUCGUCCAAUACUGGUGCACUUGAGGGUGGACGGGGAAAGCGGAAUUCCCGGUGUAGUGGUGAAAUGCGUAGAUAUCAGGAAGAACACCGGUUGCGAAGGCGGUCACCUGGCCCGUUACUGACGCUCAGGGACGAAAGCGUGGGGAGCAAACAGGAUUAGAUCCCCUGGUAGU